rnacentral:rRNA from 1 species
GAGGAAUAUUGGUCAAUGGGCGGAAGCCUGAACCAGCCAAGUAGCGUGCAGGAUGACGGCCCUACGGGUUGUAAACUGCUUUUAUGCGGGGAUAAAGUGAGGGACGCGUCCCUUUCUGCAGGUACCGCAUGAAUAAGGACCGGCUAAUUCCGUGCCAGCAGCCGCGGUAAUACGGAAGGUCCGGGCGUUAUCCGGAUUUAUUGGGUUUAAAGGGAGCGUAGGCCGGGGAUUAAGUGUGUUGUGAAAUGUAGGCGCCCAACGUCUGACUUGCAGCGCAUACUGGUUCCCUUGAGUACGCGCAACGCCGGCGGAAUUCGUCGUGUAGCGGUGAAAUGCUUAGAUAUGACGAAGAACCCCGAUUGCGAAGGCAGCCGGCGGGAGCGCAACUGACGCUGAAGCUCGAAGGUGCGGGUAUCGAACAGGAUUAGAUACCCUGGUAGUCCGCACGGUAAACGAUGGAUGCCCGCUGUCGGCGCCUUGCGCCGGCGGCCAAGCGAAAGCGUUAAGCAUCCCACCUGGGGAGUACGCCGGCAACGGUG